rnacentral:rRNA from 1 species
CCUACGGGGGGCUGCAGUGGGGAAUAUUGGACAAUGGGGGCAACCCUGAUCCAGCCAUGCCGCGUGUGUGAAGAAGGCCCUCGGGUUGUAAAGCACUUUCAGUGAGGAAGAACGCCUGGUGGUUAAUACCCAUCAGGAAAGACAUCACUCACAGAAGAAGCACCGGCUAACUCCGUGCCAGCAGCCGCAGUAAUACGGAGGGUGCGAGCGUUAAUCGGAAUUACUGGGCGUAAAGCGCGCGUAGGUGGCUUGAUAAGCCGGUUGUGAAAGCCCCGGGCUCAACCUGGGAACGGCAUCCGGAACUGUCAAGCUAGAGUGCAGGAGAGGAAGGUAGAAUUCCCGGUGUAGCGGUGAAAUGCGUAGAGAUCGGGAGGAAUACCAGUGGCGAAGGCGGCCUUCUGGACUGACACUGACACUGAGGUGCGAAAGCGUGGGUAGCAAACAGGAUUAGAUACCCCGGUAGUC